rnacentral:misc_RNA from 1 species
UAACAGGAAGAAGCUUGCUUCUUUGCUGACGAGUGGCGGACGGGUCGAGUAAUGUCUGGGAAACUGCCUGAUGGAGGGGGAUAACUACUGGAAACGGUAGCUAAUACCGCAUAACGUCGCAAGACCAAAGAGGGGGACCUUCGGGCCUCUUGCCAUCGGAUGUGCCCAGAUGGGAUUAGCUAGUAGGUGGGUUUUCUUCUCACCUAGGCNGAGAUCCCUAGCUGGUCUGAGAGGAUGACCAGCCACACUUGAUCCCUAUCACGNUGAAGNCUCCUANCUNACAGUCGAGUGG